UUUGUGUGUGAAUACGUGUAAAGGGAAGUAAGGUUUGGGGGUAUAGGGCACACCCCUGACCCCAAGGUGAUAACCAGAGUGGCCCCUUUCAUUGUUUCCACUGGCUUCCUCCUUGUUUAGUUCCAAUGACAUAGCUGCUCGAGGCACGCUCUUUCGCUUUUUUGUGUGUGAAUACAGAUAAAGGGAAGUAAGGUUUGGGGGUACAGGGCACACCCCUGACCCCAAGGUGAUAACCAGAGUGGCCCCUUUCAUUGUUUCCACUGGCUUCCUCCUUGUUUAGUUCCAAUGACAUGGCUGCUCAAGGCACGCUCUUUCGCUUUUUUGUGUGUGAAUACAGAUAAAGGGAAGUAAGGUUUGGGGGUACAGGGCACACCCCUGACCCCAAGGUGAUAACCAGAGUGGCCCCUUUCAUUGUUUCCACUGGCUUCCUCCUUGCUUAGUUCCAAUGACAUGGCUGCCUAUGCACCUGUCACUGGUCCAGGGAUGGUUGCAAAUCGGGAGGGAUGGAGUUUGUGGUCGAAAACACUCAGGAUCUGCUUCUUCCUGGCUAAUGUGCC